UACGUAGGUGGCAAGCGUUGUCCGGAAUUAUUGGGCGUCACGCGCUCGCAGGCGGUUCCUUCCUUCUUCUUUGAAAGCCCACGGCUCAACCGUGGAGGGUCAUUGGAAACUGGGGGACUUGAGUGCAGAAGAGGAGAGCGGAAUUCCACGUGUAGCGGUGAAAUGCGUAGAGAUGUGGAGGAACACCAGUGGCGAAGGCGGCUCUCUGGUCUGUAACUGACGCUGAGGCGCGAAAGCGUGGGGAGCAAACAGG
rnacentral:rRNA from 1 species